GAUGAACGCUGGCGGCGUGCCUAAUACAUGCAAGUCGAGCGAACAGACGAGGAGCUUGCUCCUCUGACGUUAGCGGCGGACGGGUGAGUAACACGUGGAUAACCUCCCUAUAAGACUGGGAUAACUUCGGGAAACCGGAGCUAAUACCGGAUAAUAUAUUGAACCGCAUGGUUCAAUAGUGAGAGACGGUGUUUCUGUAAGUUCUCGAUGGAUCCGCGCCGCAUUAGCUGGUUGGUAAGGUAACGGCUUACCAGGGCAACGAGGCGUAGCCGACGGGAGAGGGUGAUCGGCGACCUUAGAGCUUGAACGCGCUCAAUACGCCUGAGGGACGGAGCAGUAGGCAAUCUGCCGCAGUGGGGGAGAGCCUGGCGGAGUAGGGGGGCGUGAGUUGCAACGAUGUCGGGUGCGGAAAAAUCUGUUACUAGGGAAAAACCAAUUUGUACGGAGAUGUACACGUCUUGACGGUACCUAAUAAGAAAGCCACGGCUAACUACGUG
rnacentral:rRNA from 1 species